GCGGGGGCGGUCCCGAGACCGGAGCGGGGCCGGGGAGGAGUCUGCGCCGGCGCCGGGAGGGCCUGGCGCUGGGCCAGGCGCGUAGACACUGGCGAACGCCGCUGCUGAGCAGUUCCCUCAGGAUGGAGCACCAGUUGCUAUGUGGUUGGUAGGACUGGACACCCAGCCCCGCCCCACUGCUGUGAGUCAGCCUCUGGAGGGAGUCCUUGACGCCACUGGCUUGAUGUGGACAAACAUCUAGAAAGAAGACUGUUUAUCCACACACAUCGCCCUCCAAGGAUUUCAGAGUAGCAUCAGCUGCAGUUCCAACUUAAAAGCAAAGGAUCGCCCCCAGCUGCUGUGUUCUUCAGGAGACAGGCACUCGCUGAGGCAGGGCCAUGCUCACAUUCAUGGCCUCGGACAGUGAGGAAGAAGCGUGUGAUGAGCGGACGUCCCUGAUGUCAGCUGAGAGCCCCACACCACACUCCUGCCAGGAUGGCCGGCAGGGCCUGGAGAACGGAGAGAAGGCUACCAGGCAGAGAAGCCAGGACAGUGAGGAGGACCACGAGGAGGACCUGGACCGCUACAUCUGCAGUGGGGUCCCCGGACAGCCGCUGGGCCUGGAGGAAGAGCUGACCCUCAAGUACGGGGCAAAGCACGUGAUCAUGCUGUUCGUGCCCGUCACACUGUGCAUGAUUGUGGUGGUGGCCACCAUCAAGUCCGUGCGCUUCUACACGGAGAAGAAUGGACAGCUCAUCUACACGCCAUUCACCGAGGACACGCCCUCCGUGGGCCAGCGCCUCCUCAACUCUGUGCUCAACACCCUCAUCAUGAUCAGCGUCAUCGUGGCCAUGACCAUCUUCCUGGUCGUGCUCUACAAGUACCGCUGCUACAAGUUCAUCCAUGGCUGGCUGAUCAUGUCCUCUCUGAUGUUGCUGUUCCUCUUCACCUACAUCUACCUUGGGGAGGUGCUCAAGACCUACAACGUGGCCAUGGACUACCCCACCCUCCUCCUCACCGUCUGGAACUUCGGGGCGGUGGGCAUGGUGUGCAUCCACUGGAAGGGCCCCUUGGUGCUGCAGCAGGCCUACCUCAUCAUGAUCAGCGCACUCAUGGCCUUGGUGUUCAUCAAGUACCUCCCCGAGUGGUCCGCGUGGGUCAUUCUGGGCGCCAUCUCUGUGUAUGAUCUCGUGGCUGUGCUGUGCCCCAAAGGGCCUCUGAGAAUGCUGGUGGAAACUGCCCAGGAGAGGAAUGAGCCCAUAUUUCCUGCCCUGAUAUACUCAUCUGCCAUGGUGUGGACGGUGGGCAUGGCCAAGCUGGACCCCUCCUCUCAGGGAGCCCUCCAGCUCCCCUACGAUCCAGAGAUGGAAGAAGACUCCUACGACAGUUUUGGGGAGCCCUCAUACCCUGAAGUCUUUGAACCUCCACCGCCUGGCCACCCAGGGGAGGAGCUGGAGGGAGAGGAGGAAAGGGGUGUGAAGCUGGGCCUGGGAGACUUCAUCUUCUACAGCGUGCUCGUGGGCAAGGCGGCAGCCACAGGCAGCGGGGACUGGAACACCACCCUGGCCUGCUUCGUGGCCAUCCUCAUUGGCUUGUGUCUGACCCUCCUCCUACUCGCCGUGUUCAAGAAGGCCUUACCCGCCCUGCCCAUCUCCAUCACAUUCGGGCUCAUCUUCUACUUCUCCACGGAUAACCUGGUGUGCCCAUUCAUGGACACUCUGGCCUCCCACCAGCUCUGCAUCUGAGGGGAGGCAUGGGCCCCGCAGGCUGGGAGCUGUCGGGCAAGUGACUGGAGGCAGCCAGCAGGUACUCCGGGAAGCAGCUCAUUCCUAUCAGUAAAGAGGUGAAUCCUGUGGCAUGUUGGUGUUUUGUCAGUUUGUAAGUGUUCACCCCUCUCCCUGCGUCUCAUGGCCACUCUUAGGAUAACAUAGGCUGUGGCCCGGAAGGAAGGACAUCUGCCAAGUUAUGAAGGAGGAGGCCUAACUGCCCCAUCCCUCUGCAACCAUUCAUUAUGAGAGGGUUUCUUGAGCAAAGGCAUGCAGAGAGCGUGAGGCCUGAUGGUGGCGGCUCAGAGCUGUCACGGGCUGCUGGUGCUGAGCAGACCCCUGCGCUGGCUGCAGCUGUUAAGUGUCGCCAGAAACAAUGCAAGGUGGCCCCCAGAACAGUGUCUGUCCUUGACAGAAGCCAGUGCACAGUCGGGGCCAGGUGAGAGCCCAUGAUCAGGAACUUGCUUUUGUUCUGUGGCCAUCUCAGCACCGGGAGGUGGGGCAGGCCGCGCAGUUUUCCUUCUCCUCUGCACCCGUCCCAGGUUGCAAAGAGAACCUCAGUAAUGCCUCUGGACCGGCACCCAAGCAUCUUGAAGCAGUGCUGGGCCAGCCGCUGGUCCCUCUGGGAAGCACAGUUGUCAGACAACUGAGAAAGUGCCGGUGCCCAGUAUGCAGUUCAACCUGGUAGCUUUGUCUCCUUACUCCAGAAAUAAUGGGGGUGCUGUGAAGCUGGCCAAUUACCAUGAGAGGAAUAAAAGAAUUACCUACUCUGAUGUUUGCUGUAGCUUCCUGUCCCUGGGCUGUUUGUAGCAGGGCAGAGGAUAGCAUGGGGGCCUGGAUGUGGCCUGCCAGUGGCGGUGUGCCCGUGCUCAGGUGCCGCAAUCUGGAGAGCGCUGACUGGCUGAACUGCCACCUGAGACAGGGUGGCAUCGCCAUCCUGAAGGGCAAAAGUAGGGAGGGUUUUAGAUGAUGACUGGUCCCUGCUGGUCAAAGCUCCUAGAAGGUAAGAGAGAAGAAGAACUUGGAGCUCAUUCAACUUAGUAAUUGAAGAGUAGUUUCAAAGAUACUACUUUGAAGAGUAUGUUUCCAAAGAUGAAAUUUGGUUAAGUGUUUUGAUUUGUUAGGUUUGAAGAGGUCUUCAUCAAAGGCCUGACCAGGGUGCUGGGGGAAGAAGCCAUUCAGGCAGCGGUGAAGCCCUGUAUUAAAGUGGUGAUGGUGAGGGAAGGAAAGAGGGACGGCGCGUAAGACUGCCUGUGAAGGCUGGGGACAGCGGACAGGAGGAGACCAAGGCCUGGAAGAAACUGCCUCCACAAGCUUGGUCCCUGGCUGGCUGGAAGACCGGGCACCCAGCACAGUAGAGGAGGGAAAACAAGAGAACAAGAAAAUAGAUAAUCCAAAUGUGGCGCACAGGACAGAGAACUGGUAUGCAAAUGCGUACAGCCCCCAUAACCAGCCACCAAUUCUUAACACUUUUUCCAUACGGGGCACACCUUAGAGAUACUACAGGCUUGGGUCCAGACCACUGCAAUAAAGUGAGUAUCACAAAGCGAGUCAUGAAUUUUUUGGUUUCCCAGUGCAUACAAAAGUUAUAUUUAUGCUAUACUGUAGUCCAUUAAGUGUGCAGUACCAUUAUGUCUAGAAAACAGUGUGCAUACCUUCAUCAAAAAACACUGCUAAAAAAUGCUAACCUUCACCUGAGCUUCCAAUGAGUCAUAUCUUUUUGCUGCCAAAGGUCUUGCCUCACUCUUGAUGACUGUUCCUCUCUUCUGAGCAGUAGGUCUCAACAGUGGCCUUAAAAUAUUCAGCAAACCAUGUUGUAAACAGAUGUGCUCUGUCAUCCAGGCUUUGUUGUUCCAUAUACAGAGUACAGGCAGGGUGGAUUUAGCAUAAUUCUUAAAGACCCUGGGAUUUUGGAGUGGACAGUGAGCACUGGCAUCAGCUUGAAGUCCCCAGCUGCAUUAGCCCCUGGGAGAGAGUCAGCCUGUCCUUUGAAGCUUUGCAGCCAGACAUUGAUUUCUCCUCUAGCUAUGGAAGAACUCAUCUUGAUAUUACCAGAUUCUUCGUUUUUGCUGAGUGGGCAUGUGUUACCUCCUUUAGGUUUCAGUUUGCACUGAGGUUAAGCAUCGUUGCACAGGUUUUGGCCCUGCUGGUUUCCUUGUCUGUUCAUAUCCUUUGCCUGGUUUACAUUUGGCUAAUUUGUGUUUUCCUUAUGGAUAUGUAGGUCUCUUAAAAUAUACAUCCUGGAGAGAUGCUAACCUUUAGUCAAUUAUGGGCAUUUCAGAUAUCCUUCCCAGGCUGGGGCUUGUCCACCCUCCCCCUUAGCAGUGCUUUGCCAGAGCAAAUUUCAUAUGUUAAUGUAUCAAUCUUUACCUUCACGGUUUAUGCCUUUGCCUUCUCUACCCCUGUUAAGAGACUUCUCUACCCUAAAGGUUUUCUGCAAGCUUAAAUAUUUAUUUUCAGAUUAAGAUUUUUAAUCCAUUUGAUAUUUAUCCUUAUGUAUCAUAUUUAUUCUGGACCCAAUUUUGUUUUUCUGCAUCUGUAAGGUGCGGUUCCAACUUGUCUAUCGAGCCUCUCCUCCUUUCCUGUGAGUUUGUACAACUCCAGCGGUACACCGAGUUCCCAUUAGCAGGUGGAUGGGCUGUAGGGCCCUCUCUUCUGUUCCAUAGGUACGAAUGCUGUCCCAUACCAGCACCUCACCACAUGGCAGAAGCAGAGGCAUUCGGUGGUGAAGAGAGAAAGUGGGGCUCCUCCAGGGGAGGGCCCAUUCCUGAAACUCUAGUUGCAGAGACAUGUGAAUCUGAAAUUAUGCCAGAUCUCCUAAAGUAGUAUAAAGCUACAAAAUUAUAAUAGCAUGGAAUUGCUGUAGGAGUCAACAUAUGUAUCCAUUGGAUAAAAUGAUAGUCCUGGAGUAAAAUCUGGUAUAACGAGUCUAACCCAAGCUCCAGCUUUUCUCUCCCUCUUUGAAGUGCUCUCUGCACUCCGUGGGAAGGAGGAUGUGGGGCACAGUGAAGCACGUCCACUCCUGAGCUGUGCCUCCUCCUGCCGCCUUCACUUCCUCCAUCACAGGUUCACUCUCCGUGUUGCACCCUGCAGCUCAUGACUGCAGUCCCUUCCACUGUGUGCCUCUGUGAGGACCUCAAGACGGGGCAAACCACUUCCCUGCCUUUCCUAUGGAGCAACACUGCCAGCUUUCAGAUCCUGGCUUUGUCCAUUACUGUGUGACCUGAAGGAAGUCCCAACUCCCUGAGAGUAGGAUUAGGCUUAACUGUCCAUAAUGUAAGCGGUGAUUUAACCAAGAUGGUAUUGUUCUCCCGCACACAGGCAGCUCAGGAAGGACAUGAUAGCUCAUGGUUUCAUGGCCAGGCUCCCAUCUUGUUUUGAUGUCCUCAGUAUGUGGGUUUACCUCAUGGCCCAAGUUGGCUGCCAAGCUCUAGCCAUCAAUUCCACACUACAUCUAACAUGAAAGGAUAGAGAGGGAUGCACUUCCCUCUCUUAAGGAUACUUCCCAAAAUUGCACACAAAAGUUGCUAAAGGGAGACUGGGAAAUAUCUUUACUUCAAGCAGCCAUAUGUCCAUCUAAAGAACAUAAGGAAGUGUGUGGUUAUGGUGUGUCUUCUGGUUCACCAACAUAGAGAUUGAAGUUACCAAAAUAAAUCGAGAAAAUGAGGUCAUGAGGGAUACUGUGAACCGCAAACUGAUGUCUCCAAAGAAGGUGGAAAUUGGCCUGGGAGGUGAACAGUGACACCACAGGGAUGAAGGUGGACUGUCAUCUCCGUUAAAAUCAGGCAGGGAGGGUGUGGAAAGACCCAGGCAGGAGGGUGUGGAAAGACCCAGGCAGGAAGAUGUGGAAAGACCAGGAUGACCACGAGCCAGGAGAUGGCUCAUCUUACGCCGUGUGUCCUGUUGUGAAAAAAUAUGUAAGGCAGUCAGGGUGCUGUGGCUGCAAAUACCUGGAGGCCUUAGUAGAGGGUGACACUGGUUAAAUUGGAGUAGGUCUUGUCUUAAUCUAGGCUCCAAUUGGCUCAGUCAGAAGUCCUUUAUCUUACACCUCAGGGCAUGGAGUACCACCAUGCUAGGUUUGUGGUUUAUUCAGCAAUUCAGUGAAAUCACUGAUGGCUGUUUCAUUCUCUCCAUGUUCCUCUCAGGUAUUUUUACCUGCACGGAGCCAGGUGCUGAGAGAGGAGAGGGGGAGGAAAGGAGAUGAGAGAGGAUGAACCUUACUGUGUCAUUUUUUUAAGUUCAAUGAAAAUCCUGCUCAGAAGUUCCCAGGCAGUUUGCCCCCUGAAUCUCUUCGGCCAGAAUGGUGUCACAGCCCCACGCCUAAACCAAUCACCAGCCCUGCAUGUGGAAUUGACAUGGCCAGCUGAGGCCAGUCAGAGUAUAACCCUGAGUCUCAUAGGGGAGGGCUGGAUACCUGAAAAGGAUCUGAGUUCUGUUAGCGGGCACAGAAGUCUCUAGGUGGACACCUAACUGUGACUGCUACAAUAGCUGUCUUACUUUUUCUGUAACCUAAGCCCCAUUUUGCCUGUUAGAAAAUAAACUGGUGAACUCAGUUUGAUGUGUCAAAUUCUUCUCCCUGGAGCAGGACCGAAGUGUGGGGAGGCACAUGUGGUCCUUUACUAGCACCUGUCUGCCUUGAUGGCUUUUUAAUUGUGGUUAAAAAAGUAAUAAAAUCUAUCAUCUUAAUAGUUUCUAAGUGUAUGGUCCAGUAGUGCCAAGCAUAUUCACUCUGUUAGGUCCUGUCUCCAGAACUUUCAUCUUCAACACUGAAACUGUACCCACUGGACAAUCCUAUCCCCCUCCCUGUCCAGCCCCUGACAACCACCAUACUAACCCCCCACACCCACACCCACACCCCAAUUCUUUGAUUUUGACAAAUACCGCAUGUAAAUGGAAUCACAGUAUUUGCCUUUUUGUGUCUGGCUCAUUUCCCUU